ANGGAGCNCAGUGCGCUUUAGUUGGAGUNAAGCCCGGGGNUCACCCCGGGACUGUUCCCAAAANUAUNGUGCUUGAGUAUNGGAGAGGUAGGCGGAAUUCCUAGUGUAGCNGUGAAAUGCUUAGAUAUUAGGAAGAACACCGGUGGCGAAGGCGGCCUACUNGACCAAAACUGACACUGAGGCUCGAAAGCGUGGGUAGCAAACAGGAUUAGAUACCCUGGUAGUCCACGCUGUAAAC
rnacentral:rRNA from 1 species